rnacentral:rRNA from 1 species
UACGAAGGGUGCAAGCGUUGUUCGGAUUUAUUGGGCGUAAAGCGUACGUAGGCGGACGGUUAAGUCAGGUGUGAAAUCUCGGGGCUCAACCCCGAAAUUGCGCCUGAAACUGGCCAUCUAGAAUACUGGAGAGGGAGGGGGAAUUUCGCAUGUAGGGGUAAAAUCCGUAGAUAUGCGAAGGAACACCAGAGGCGAAGGCGCCUUCCUGGUCGGUUAUUGACGCUGAUGUACGAAAGCGUGGGGAGCAAACAGG